GCUUACACAUGCAAGUCGAGCGGUAACAGAGAUAGCUUGCUAUCUGCUGACGAGCGGCGGACGGGUGAGUAAUGCUUGGGAAUAUGCCUUUGAGUGGGGGACAACAGUUGGAAACGACUGCUAAUACCGCAUAACGUCUACGGACCAAAGGGGGGGAUGCUUCGGCACCUCUCGCUCAUUGAUUAGCCCAAGUGAGAUUAGCUAGUUGGUAAGGUAAUGGCUUACCAAGGCGACGAUCUCUAGCUGGUUUGAGAGGAUGAUCAGCCACACUGGGACUGAGACACGGCCCAGACUCCUACGGGAGGCAGCAGUGGGGAAUAUUGCACAAUGGGCGAAAGCCUGAUGCAGCCAUGCCGCGUGUGUGAAGAAGGCCUUCGGGUUGUAAAGCACUUUCAGCGAGGAGGAAAGGUUAGUAGUUAAUAGCUGCUAGCUGUGACGUUACUCGCAGAAGAAGCACCGGCUAACUUCGUGCCAGCAGCCGCGGUAAUACGAGGGGUGCAAGCGUUAAUCGGAAUUACUGGGCGUAAAGCGUGCGUAGGUGGUUUGUUAAGCAAGAUGUGAAAGCCCCGGGCUCAACCUGGGAACUGCAUUUUGAACUGGCAAACUAGAGUUUUGUAGAGGG
rnacentral:rRNA from 1 species